GUGGGGAAUAUUGGACAAUGGGCGAAAGCCUGAUCCAGCCAUGCCGCGUGUGUGAAGAAGGUCUUCGGAUUGUAAAGCACUUUAAGUUGGGAGGAAGGGCAGUAAGUUAAUACCUUGCUGUUUUGACGUUACCAACAGAAUAAGCACCGGCUAACUUCGUGCCAGCAGCCGCGGUAAUACGAAGGGUGCAAGCGUUAAUCGGAAUUACUGGGCGUAAAGCGCGCGUAGGUGGUUUUGUAAGUUGGAGGUGAAAUCCCCGGGCUCAACCUGGGAACUGCCUCCAAAACUGCAUGACUAGAGUACGGUAGAGGGUAGUGGAAUUUACUGUGUAGCGGUGAAAUGCGUAGAUAUAGGAAGGAACACCAGUGGCGAAGGCGACUACCUGGACUGAUACUGACACUGAGGUGCGAAAGCGUGGGGAGCAAACAGGAUUAGAAACCCGGGUAGUCC
rnacentral:rRNA from 1 species